rnacentral:lncRNA from 1 species
CUGACUUGACCAGGAAGCCAGUCCUGUAUUAGUAAAAGAAACCUAUCGCGCUGGGUCACCAUUCCUUUCAGAGUAGCCUACAACCCAUGAUAUGGUAUAUGGUCGGUCUCCAGCUAAGGCGCAUUCUCCACAUUCAAGGUAAUCCCUAAUUUAACAUGACCAUGACUUUUUUUUGGACUGACUUUGGAAGCAGACCUUUUCUCGGCUAGCUAUUUUCGGUAUUUGAAAAACAUGGCUAAAGGACAUUGAGAUUUUGAAAACUAUCCUUUCAAUGUUGGUAGGUCGGUACUCAACUAAAGGAUUUGGGGCUGACGAAGACAAAGACGUAUUGAAAUUCGGGAUUUUUGAUUACCACAGCACAGCGGACGUUGAAUUGACUAAAGACUAAGGCCUAUAUUUCUCUUCAAAAAGAAGAAGGGGACAGAACCACGCCUUAUGACGAAAGGGGAGAGUGAAACCUAGAACGAUACCACUCCGAGAAUGAGACAUCCUGGACAGACGGCUGGCAAGAGUGAGACCUCUGAGAGAUUUCCCUACUGGACUCCAAUCCAAUACUCUAUUUUGAAGAGACCACUAAAAGAAAAGAGAAGAAUGCGACCAUCGAGUUUCUUCAACGAGCCCCACCCUGGGUCUUUCUUAGUGUAGUUGGUUCUCCCGUGGUAAGCUCUCUGACUACUGGCUUGGCUAGGCUGGUCUCCUAUUAAACAUGGUAAGCCCGACCCGUCACUCACUGAAACCCGGGAAUCCUCCCUUUUUUUUUAGGAGUCAGAAGUCCUCUCUCGCCAGUCUCGGUCAAUUGAAUCUGACUGAGCUUGACAGGUUCCGACUUGCCUUUCCUAUUCUUUUUUCUUAUUAUUGAACUGGUGUCUGAAAGACAACAAAAAGGUAGGGUAGGAAGAAUCUCCUAAGAAAGGUCUCUUCUUCUUCUUUAAUGGAUGGGAACACAUCGAAUGAAAAGGAUGUCGAAUGAGUUGAAAGAUGGCAAAAACCCAACUUCCUUGUGAGAAAUUCAAUCUGAACUUGAUUGGCUCCAUCACCGGAACCAGCUGCAGCCUCUCUAAUCCAAUUCCGUUCCACAGGAAUGCCAAAACAAUGAUGAUGGCC